UCCUUUGCAGCCCUUGGCUAACCGAGCAGGCGGCUUCCCGGCUGCUGCUCGGCACCGUGCACCGCCAGGGCUUGACACUCAGCAUGGAGUUGGGAAUAACUCACACAGUGACUGGUUCCCGCUUCACUAAAGCUCACUUUGGGCUUCUCACACGUGUCUUUGCCUGGAGUGAGCGGGAACCGUGACUGCGUUUCUCAUGCCCAGCCUGCCCUCCUUCCCAUCAGAGAGCAGGGACUGCACACAGAGAGGCAUUUAGGCUACGCCUUCUGUCUUUUGGGGGAGAGUGCCAAAAACCAGCUCCCAAAGAGCUGUGCACGGACACAGAGGAGGGGGGAUGCAAGAAGGUCUCCGUCAGCAGUGAGGAGGAUCCGUGUCCGCAAGCUGCAAAGGGGAGACAAUGCCCUUCCUUCAAAGCUGGCUUGUCUUUUGGUUUCCAGGUUUCAGCUUGCUGUGCAAGGCAGCGUGGAGGCCCAGGCUGCCCCCACCGGCUGCCCACAGGGGAAGGAGCAGGAGCUGGAAGAAGAGCUUGGGGCCGUCAGGAGCAGCAAAGAGAGGCGUCCUGGCAAGCUCCUGCCGCACCGCGAGGAGCUUUCUCUCCCCGUGCUGCCAAAGUGGGGGGAAGGCGCGAGGCAGCAAGGCAUGGAGAGCAAGCCUGCUGCCAGGACCCUUGUGAACCAGACGGCCCCCAUCCCGGGCACCUCCCCGGGGAAGCAGGUUGGCGUGCAAUACCUCCCGCACCCUCCCGCCGGACCUCGGCGUGGCCA